rnacentral:tRNA from 2 species
GGCAACUUGGCGGAGUGGUUAACGCGAUUGACUCGAAUGUCCUAGCGAGUAUAGGCUUCAAUAAAUUUCCUUCGGGAGCGCAUGUUCGAAUCAUGCAGUUGUCG